rnacentral:tRNA from 1 species
GGUCCGCUAGCUCAGUUGGUAGAGCACAACACUUUUAAUGUUGGGGUCUUGGGUUCGAACCCCAAGCGGGCUA